UUCUUAUCAAGAGAAGCUGAGGGACUGGCCCUGUGAAGCUUCAGCAACCAGCCGUUUGGUCAGGUGCUAAUUCCAGCAGAUGCUUAUGUGUCUGAUAGAUGAGAA
rnacentral:ncRNA from 2 species